rnacentral:rRNA from 1 species
AGAGUUUGAUCCUGGCUCAGAAUGAACGUUGGCGGCGUGGAUUAGGCAUGCAAGUCGUACGCACAGCUUCGGCUGUGAGGUGGCGCAAGGGUGAGUAAUGCGAAGGUAACCAACCCUGGAGUUGGGCAUAACCGCGGGAAACUGCGGGUAAUUCCCAGCGAUGUCGCGAGAUGGCAUCAUCUUGCGACCAAAGGUGUGAUUCCGCUCUAGGACGGGCCUUCGUGGUAUUAGGUAGUUGGUGAGGUAACGGCUCACCAAGCCGACGAUGCCUACCGGGUGUGAGAGCAUGACCCGGCACACUGGAACUGAGACACUGUCCAGACACCUACGGGUGGCUGCAGUCGAGAAUCUUCGGCAAUGGGCGAAAGCCUGACCGAGCGACGCCGCGUGAGGGAAGAAGGCCUUCGGGUUGUAAACCUCUUUCGUAGAGGAGGAAGGGGCCGUGCAGAGCGGUCUUUGACCUAUUCUAGGAAGAAGCUUGGGCUAAGUUCGUG